rnacentral:rRNA from 1 species
GACGAACGCUGGCGGCGUGCUUAACACAUGCAAGUCGAACGGAAAGGCCCUGCUUUUGUGGGGUUCUCGAUUGGCGAACGGGUGAGUAACACGUGAGUAACCCGCCCUUGACUUUGGGAUAACUUCAGGAAACUGGGGCUAAUACCGGAUAGGAGCUCCUGCUGUAUGGUGGGCGUUGGAAAGUUUGGGUGGGUGUGUAUGGACGGGAGGUUUAUCAGUUUGUUUGUGGGGUAGUGGGUUACUAAGGUUUUGACGGGUAGCCGGCCUGAGAGGGUGCCCGGCCACAUUGGGCCUGCGGUACGGCCCAGAGUCCUACGUUACACACAAGUCGGAAAUAUUGCACAAUGGCCGGAAGCCUGAUACGGCAACGCGGCGUGCGGGAUGCCGGCCUUCGGGUUGUAAACCGCUUUCUCCUUUAACAAGGCUUGAGUGACUAUCAUCCAUAAAGAAUCACCGGCUAACUACAUG